AAAAAAAACCUAUUCAGUGAGUGUAAAAAAAAAAAGUAUAUAAAAAGGAUAAUCAGAACGUGUGUUAUGGGACAGCUAAGCUCAGUAGCUUGAUUGAAAAGUUCGUGUACAGUUCGGUUUUAUUUUUUUUCUGUCGAGGACAUUUUUUUUUCUCUGCAAAUAAUUUAUAAAAUGAAUACCAGUGGUGAUGAAGAAAGGCGCUCGAGUGCGGGUUUUAAUGUGCAACCAACGCACCAGCUACAAAAUGGUUCUGGUGAACCAUCAGUGCAGUAUCCUCCAUUACAAACGCCGCCAUCGGUGUCGAUGGAUAGUUCGUCGAUGAUGCAGAUCUUGCAAUUAAUGCAGCAGCAAAUGGCACAGCAGCAGAACAUUUUGGCGCAGUUAAUGCAGCAGCAAGGGUCAGGCCAAAGUUCAUCCACAUCACCGGAACAAAUUUUGGAUUCGUUGUGCAGCCACAUUAAAGAAUUUAGAUACGAUGCUGAGGCUGGAACGACAUUUGCCGCAUGGUACAACCGCUAUGAGGACCUGUUCGAAAGAGAUGCUGCCCGGUUGAGCGACGAAGCAAAAGUGCGCCUUCUCAUGCGCAAGCUAGGAACUCUUGAACAUGAUCGGUAUGUAAAUUUCAUCUUGCCAAAGUUCUCACGAGAUUUUUUAUUACCAGAGACGGUCGCUAAGCUGACAGAUUUGUUCGGAACUAAGGAGUCCCUGUUACAUCGACGGUUCAAAUGCUUAAAUACGGUGAAGGGGAAGACGGAAGAUUAUCUAGCGUACGCAUGUCGCGUCAACCGUGGUGUAGUCAACUUUGAGCUAGGCAAUUUGACGGAGGAGCAGCUCAAAUGCCUUGUAUUUGUUUGCGGGUUGAAAGAUGAUAAGGAUGUGGAAAUUCGGCAAAGACUGUUAGCGCGGAUCGAGGAACGUCCUGAAACCACUCUGGAGCAUAUUACAACCGAAUGUCAACGCAUUAUCAACUUAAGACACGACAGCGCAAUGAUCGAAAGAGAGAACACCGAACAAGUCUAUGCAGUGCAGCAUAAGGAAACACGGUUCCAGCAUUAUCGUAGCAACCUGUCAGAGAGGCCAUCCGAUUCGAAACCCCCUAGCAGAUCGUGUUGGCUAUGUGGAGGACUACACUGGUCUCGAGACUGUACGUACCGUACUCACAAAUGUACCGAUUGUGGAAGAAUAGGCCACAAAGAAGGGUUUUGCAGAACGUACAACAAUUAUCGUCGGAACUAUAACCAAACGAAUUUCAAUCGUCAGCAAGCAAAUACUAGAACGGUCUCAGUCAAUGUGCACAGCGUUCAGGAGAGAAGGAAGUAUGUACCUCUUAGCAUCAAUGGCAUUCACCUCCGGCUACAGCUCGACACCGCUUCUGACAUAUCAGUCAUUGGCAAAAAUACCUGGGAACUAAUUGGAGCACCCCCCUUUCCCCGCCAUCAGUCGAUGCCAAAACAGCAUCGGGAGCAGUGUUACCUAUAAUCGGCGAAUUCAGUGCCAACAUCACCAUCAGAGAAGAGCAGCGUGUCGAGACGGUUUAUGUUUCGCAAGCGGACUUAAAGCUGUUGGGAACCGACCUAAUCGAGGCUUUUUCCUUAUGGUCAGUGCCUGUUGAUCAGAUAUGCAACGCCAUUCAAUCAUCAACGAAUAAGGAGCUACGACUACGUUAUCCCAAGCUGUUUGGAGAGGGCAUGGGCCUAUGUACAAAGGGAAACGUUACUCUGCAGCUGAAGGAACAGUGUCGUCCAGUUUUCUGCCCUAAACGUCCAGUUGCAUACGCUAUGCUGGAUGCAGUCGACAAGGAACUGGACCGGCUGGAAAAGCUAGGAGUCAUCACACCAGUCGAUUUCUCGGACUGGGCCGCACCAAUUGUCGUCGUGCGGAAAGCAAACGGUCAGAUAAGGAUCUGCGGAGAUUACUCGACCGGUCUCAAUGGAGCCUUGCACCCCCAGGAGUACCCGCUUCCACUACCAGCAGAUAUUUUCGCCAGGCUAGGUCGAAAUUGCUGAGCAGAGUCGGAAGUUUCUAACCAUCAACACGCAUAAAGGGCUUUACUCCUACAACCGACUUCCACCGGGCAUCAAGGUAGCUCCUGCGGCUUUUCAACAGUUGAUGGACAAAAUGCUCAUUGGAUUGCGGGGAGUUUCCAGUUACAUGGAUGAUAUAAUUAUCGGAGGUACGAAUCAGAAAGAACAUGAUGAUAUUUUAAAUGAAACGCUCGCUAGAAUUCAAGAUUACGGUUUCACAAUUCGCGUAGAAAAAUGUUUUUUUAAUAAGAAGCAAAUACGGUAUCUAGGGCACAUAAUAGAUAGUCAGGGCAUCAGACCAGAUCCGGAAAAAGUUAAAGCUAUAACCAAUUUGCCAGCACCAUCAGAUGUCAGUGAAGUAAGGUCAUUCCUCGGAGCAAUCAAUUAUUAUGGGCGCUUUAUUCCAAAUCUACGAAAUUUGCGGUACCCACUGGAUGCACUACUAAAAGAAGGGAGAGAAUUUGCGUGGACUGCAGAAUGCCAGAAAGUUUUUGAAAAAUUCAAGUCAGUAUUGUCUUCAAACCUAUUAUUAACCCACUAUGAUCCGCGACUUGAGAUAGUGGUAUCAGCUGAUGCGUCUUCCGUUGGUCUGGGAGCAACUCUAAGUCACAAAUUUCCUGAUGGCAGUAUGAAGGUUGUACAACAUGCAUCACGAUCUCUUACAAAAGCCGAGCAAAGAUACAGUCAAAUCGACCGGGAGGGGCUAGCUAUCAUUUUCGCAGUGACCAAAUUUCAUAAGAUGAUAUUUGGUCGGCAUUUCCGUCUUCAGACAGAUCACAGGCCUCUUCUAAGAAUAUUUGGAAACAAGAAAGGUAUUCCGGUUUACACUGCAAACAGGUUACAGCGUUUUGCCCUUACGCUUUUAAUGUACGAUUUUGAAAUCGAAUAUGUAACCACGGAGAAAUUUGGAAAUGCCGACAUCCUAUCAAGAUUGAUAAGCGAGCACAGCAAGCCAGAUGAAGACUAUAUAAUCGCCAAUUUAGAGCUAGAGAAGGAUGUAAAAUCAGUAGUCAUCAGCAACAUCUCAUCCUUACCAAUCAAUUUUACGGAAGUAGCCAAACAAACGGGGAAAGAUUCAAUUUUAUCAAAGGUACUACAUUUUACACAAAACGGUU